rnacentral:rRNA from 1 species
CCGGGACCAUCCGGUAAGGCUAAAUACUCCCGAGAGACCGAUAGCGAACCAGUACCGUGAGGGAAAGGUGAAAAGCACUUCGAACAGAAGAGUGAAAUAGUUCCUGAAACCGUGCGCCUACAAGCGGUCGGAGCUCGUUAAUGAGUGACGGCGUGCCUUUUGCAUAAUGAACCUACGAGUUGCCUUUGCCGGCAAGGUUAAGUGUGACGACACACGUAUCCGAAGCGAAAGCGAGUCUGAAGAGGGCGUAUAGUCGGCAGUGGCAGACGCGAAACCAAGUGAUCUACCCUUGGCCAGGUUGAAGGCUGGGUAACACCAGCUGGAGGACCGCACCAAUAAGCGUUGAAAAGCUUCUGGAUGAGCUGAGGGUAGGGGUGAAAGGCUAAUCAAACUUGGAGAUAGCUCGUACUCCCCGAAAUGCAUUUAGGUGCAGCCUUGCGGGUUACUGAUGUGAGGUAGAGCGACUGAUAAGAUGCGAGGGCUUCACCGCCUAUCAAGUCUUGACAAACUCCGAAUGCGCAUCAGUUCUACCGCAGGAGUGAGGGCAUGGGUGCUAAGGUCCGUGCCCGAGAGGAGAAGAAUCCGGACCACCUGCUAAGGUCCCGAAAUGACAGCUAAGUUAAACUAACGAAGUCUGACUGCUAAGACAGCUAGGAUGUUGGCUUGGAAGCAGCCAUUCAUUUAAAGAGUGCGUAACAGCUCACUAGUCGAGGAGUCGGGCGUGGAUAAUAAUCGGGUAUUAAGUUGUCUACCGAAGCAGUGGGAUCAUUUAUAUGAUCGGUAGGGGAGCAUUCCAGUCAGCGUCGAAGGCGUACCGUGAGGUAUUCUGGAGCGUCUGGAAAAGCAAAUGUAGGUAUAAGUAACGAUAAAGGGGGCGGGAAACCCCCUCGCCGAAAGACUAAGGUUUCCUGAUCAACGCUAAUCGGAUCAGGGUCAGUCGGGUCCUAAGGCUCAGCCGAACGGCGAUGCCGAUGGCAGAAACGGUUAAUAUUCCGUUACUACCUUCAGGAGUGACGUGGAGACGCAGUAGUGACAGUGCCGCCAUCUGACGGAAUAGAUGGUUGAAGGGUGUAGGAGUCGAUCAUGGCAGGCAAAUCCACCAUGAGAUCCGAACCUGAUAGUAUGCCGCGUCCUUCGGGACAAGGCAAUAGUGCGCGUAAGCAUGCUGCCGAGAAAAUCCGCUAAACUUAAUCCUGUAGGUACCCGUACCGCAAACGGACACACGUAGUCGGGAUGAAUAUUCUAAGGCGCUUGAGUGAUUCACGGUUAAGGAACUAGGCAAACUGACCCUGUAACUUCGGGAUAAAGGGUCCCUACCCUUUUAUGGGAGGGCGCAGAGAAUCGGUCCAGGCAACUGUUUAACAAAAACACAGGGCUGUGCCAAAUCGAAAGAUCCAGUAUACAGCCUGACACCUGCCCGGUGCUGGAAGGUUAAGAGGAGAUGUCAUCGAUAAGAGAAGCGUUGAAUUGAAGCCCCAGUAAACGGCGGCCGUAACUAUAACGGUCCUAAGGUAGCGAAAUUCCUUGUCGGGUAAGUUCCGACCUGCACGAAUGGUGUAAUGAUCCGGACGCUGUCUCAACCAUGAGCUCAGUGAAAUUGUAGUAUCGGUGAAGAUGCCGAUUACCCGCGAUGGGACGAAAAGACCCCGUGAACCUUUACUAUAGCUUAUCAUUGAAUCUGGGCACGUGAUGUGUAGGAUAGGUCGGAGGCUUUGAAGCAGGUACGCCAGUAUUUGUGGAGCCGCUGUUGAAAUACGACCCUUUAUUUGUUUGGAUUCUAACCCGUGGAACGGGGACAUUGAUUGGUGGGUAGUUUGACUGGGGUGGUCGCCUCCAAAAGCGUAACGGAGGCUUCUAAAGGUGCCC